AGUGAACGCUGGCGGCGUGCCUAACACAUGCAAGUCGAACGAUGAUGGAGAGCUUGCUCUCCUGAUUAGUGGCGCACGGGUGAGUAUACCAUAGAUAAUGUACCUCUUAGUUCGGGAUAGCCACUGGAAACGGUGAUUAAUACCGGGUACUCCUUCUUGUCAAAAGGCAAGUCGGGAAAGUUUUUUCGCUAAGAGAUCAUUCUAUGUCCUAUAAGGUAGUUGUUGAGGUAAUGGCUCACCAAUACUAUGACGGGUAUCUGGUUUGAGAGGAUGAUCAGACACACAGGAACUGAGACACGGUCCAGACUCCUACGAGAGGCAGCAGUGAGGAAUAUUGCACAAUGGAGGAAACUCUGAUGCAGCAACGCCGCGUGGAGGAUGACGCAUUUCGGUGUGUAAACUCCUUUUAAGAGGGAAGAUUAUGACGGUACCUCUUGAAUAAGCACCGGCUAACUCCGUGCCAGCAGCCGCGGUAA
rnacentral:rRNA from 1 species